GGGGAGGGAAGCGGGCGGGCUCUUCAGCCGUUCCGGGGCUCGAGCCCAAGCCCAGCGCUCGCGGUUUCUGUUGCUCGCGCCCGAGCGCUUCCUUCCUGCCCUUUCUCGUUCUCUAGACCCUCGGGCCGCUGUUCAAUCGCUCCCUCACUCGCUAUCUCGGCCGUCGGACUCCGCCGCCGCCCCGCCGCUCCAGCUCCGUCUGUCACAGGAGCUGCCCCAGCGCCCUGACGUCACCGCGCCGCCGCCGCCCCAGACCCGCCAGGAAGAGGGAGGGGAGCGGAGGAGGGGCUGCGGCGCAUGCGCGGGCGCGGCUGGGCCCCUGAGUCGCCGUCUUCGUCCUGGCGAGCGGGCGAUCGCGGCCAGUGCUACUUGGCGGUACGGAGUGGCCGGUGGGCGAGCGUGCGCACGAGGCCCUGCUUUUCACGUCCCUCGUGCCGCUAUAACCUUGGAAGAGCCCCUUUUUUCCUCGACUCUGUUGUGUCCCCUCACGAACUCUGGUCCCACUCACCUAACCGCCCCGCUUUUGCCCCACUGCAUGCUGCGCUCUCUCCGCUUCCCCGGCGGACAGCGGGGACCAGUCGGCGCCCCUGCAUCCCGGCCCCGGUAGGUUCCAGAGUAAGAAAGCCCGGGCCAGGCUAUCGCCCAUUCUGCCUGCGGCCUGCUGUAUUAUCACCACCCCGCCAAAAAGAAAGGGAAGUAGGUUGGUUUGCUUGGGAGGAUUCGCUUUUAGAUGUGAUUCAGCUGUUAUUUUCCUUAGUCACACACCACGCAUCAGAGACUCUAGAAGUCUCGAAACUGACUCCCAAAGAAAGACCUGGAACUUUAUCCCUACAAGGAAUAUCGGCGAAAUAUAUACAAUAAAACCUUGGGCUGUGAGUAACUUGACC
rnacentral:lncRNA from 1 species